rnacentral:rRNA from 1 species
UGGGGAAUAUUGCGCAAUGGCCGAAAGGCUGACGCAGCGACGCCGCGUGGGGGAUGAAGCAUUUCGGUGUGUAAACCCCUGUUGCUCGGGACGAACAACUGGAUUUGUCCAGUCUGACGGUACCGGGUGAGGAAGCACCGGCUAACUCCGUGCCAGCAGCCGCGGUAAUACGGAGGGUGCGAGCGUUGUCCGGAAUCACUGGGCGUAAAGGGCGCGUAGGUGGUCUGCUAAGCGUGUGGUGAAAGCUCGGGGCUCAACCCCGAGUCUGCCAUGCGAACUGGUGGACUAGAGCACUGUAGAGGCAGGUGGAAUUCCGGGUGUAGCGGUGGAAUGCGUAGAGAUCCGGAAGAACACCGGUGGCGAAGGCGGCCUGCUGGGCAGUAGCUGACACUGAGGCGCGACAGCGUGGGGAGCAAACA